AAAAAAAAAGACAGAGAAGAUUAGCAUGGCCCCAGUGCAAGGAUGACAUGCAAAUUCGUGAAGUGUUCCAUAUUUUU
rnacentral:snRNA from 1 species